rnacentral:rRNA from 1 species
AUUGAACGCUGGCGGCAUGCCUUACACAUGCAAGUCGAACGGCAGCACGGGAGCUUGCUCCUGGUGGCGAGCGGCGAACGGGUGAGUAAUACAUCGGAACGUACCCUGAAGUGGGGGAUAACGUAGCGAAAGUUACGCUAAUACCGCAUAUUCUGUGAGCAGGAAAGAGGGGGAUCGCAAGACCUCUUGCUUUAGGAGCGGCCGAUGUCGGAUUAGCUAGUUGGUGAGGUAAAGGCUCACCAAGGCGACGAUCCGUAGCGGGUCUGAGAGGAUGAUCCGCCACACUGGGACUGAGACACGGCCCAGACUCCUACGGGAGGCAGCAGUGGGGAAUUUUGGACAAUGGGCGCAAGCCUGAUCCAGCCAUGCCGCGUGAGUGAAGAAGGCCUCGGUUGUAAG